rnacentral:rRNA from 1 species
GAUGAACGCUGGCGGCGUGCCUAAUACAUGCCAGUCGAGCGAACAGACGAGGAGCUUGCUCCUCUGACGUUAGCGGCGGACGGGUGAGUAACACGUGGAUAACCUACCUAUAAGACUGGGAUAACUUCGGGAAACCGGAGCUAAUACCGGAUAAUAUAUUGAACCGCAUGGUUCAAUAGUGAAAGACGGUUUUGCUGUCACUUAUAGAUGGAUCCGCGCCGCAUUAGCUAUUUGGUAAGGUAACGGCUUACCAAGGCGACGAUGCGUAGCCGACCUGAGAGGGUGAUCGGCCACACUGGAACUGAGACACGGUCCAGACUCCUACGGGAGGCAGCAGUAGGGAAUCUUCCGCAAUGGGCGAAAGCCUGACGGAGCAACGCCGCGUGAGUGAUGAAGGUCUUCGGAUCGUAAAACUCUGUUAUUAGGGAAGAACAAAUGUGUAAGUAACUAUGCACGUCUUGACGGUACCUAAUCAGAAAGCCACGGCUAACUACGUG